GACAGAGGUGGCAAGCGUUGCUCGGAGUUACUGGGCAUAAAGGGCGCGUAGGCGGUCGUGCACGUCGAGGGUGAAAUCCCCGGGCUCAACCCGGGAACUGCCUUUGAUACGGCGCGACUCGAGUGCGGGAGGGGAGAGUGGAACCCCUGGUGGAGCGGUGAAAUGCGUAGAUAUCAGGAGGAACGCCGGUGGCGAAAGCGACUCUCUGGUCCGCAACUGACGCUGAGGCGCGAAAGCUAGGGGAGCAAACGGG
rnacentral:rRNA from 1 species